CAACAGGGAUUGCCUCAGUAACGGCGAGUGAAGCGGCAAAAGCUCAAAUUUGAAAUCUGGCACCUUCGGUGUCCGAGUUGUAAUUUGAAGAAGGUAACUUUGGAGUUGGCUCUUGUCUAUGUUCCUUGGAACAGGACGUCACAGAGGGUGAGAAUCCCGUGCGAUGAGAUGCCCAACUCUAUGUAAAGUGCUUUCGAAGAGUCGAGUUGUUUGGGAAUGCAGCUCUAAGUGGGUGGUAAAUUCCAUCUAAAGCUAAAUAUUGGCGAGAGACCGAUAGCGAACAAGUACAGUGAUGGAAAGAUGAAAAGAACUUUGAAAAGAGAGUGAAAAAGUACGUGAAAUUGUUGAAAGGGAAGGGCUUGAGAUCAGACUUGGUAUUUUGCAAGCCUUACCUUCGUGGUGGGGUCCCCUGCAGUUUACUGGGCCAGCAUCGGUUUGGAUGGUAGGAUAAUGACUUGGGAAUGUGACUUUGCUUCGGUAAAGUGUUAUAGCCCUUGUUGAUACUGCCUGUCUAGACCGAGGACUGCGUCUUUGACUAGGAUGCUGGCAUAAUGAUCUUAAGUCGCCCGUCUUGAA
rnacentral:rRNA from 1 species